rnacentral:rRNA from 1 species
UACGAAGGGUGCAAACGUUGCUCGGAAUCAUUGGGCGUAAAGCGCACAUAGGCGGGUCUUUAAGUCAGGGGUGAAAUCCUGGAGCUCAACUCCAGAACUGCCUUUGAUACUGAGGAUCUCGAGUCCGGGAGAGGUGAGUGGAACUCCGAGUGUAGAGGUGAAAUUCGUAGAUAUUCGGAAGAACACCGAUGGCGAAGGCAGGUCUCUGGGCUGACACUGACGCUCAUGCACGAAAGCGUGGGGAGCAAACAGG